AUACGAUUCACAGUCAAUACAAUACAACAAUACAAUACAAUACGAACCACCACUUCUUUUAUUUUUUUGCGUCUCCUCCUCAUUCUUGUUUUUGUUUUAUUCUCCUUUUUUCGCUUUCUCAUCAUCAUCAUCAUCA
rnacentral:ribozyme from 13 species